rnacentral:rRNA from 1 species
UACGUAGGGGGCAAGCGUUGUCCGGAAUCAUUGGGCGUAAAGCGCGUGUAGGCGGCUGGCUAAGUCCGCUCUGAAAGCCCGGGGCUCAACCCCCGGGAGGCGGGUGGAUACUGGUCAGCUCGAGUCCGGAAGAGGAGUGUGGAAUUCCUGGUGUAGCGGUGAAAUGCGCAGAUAUCAGGAGGAACACCAAUGGCGAAGGCAGCACUCUGGGACGGUACUGACGCUGAGACGCGAAAGCGUGGGGAGCAAACAGG